GGAGAGGCUGUGCUUUGAGCAGGGCUUUGAAGGAGACAGCUGCUUGUGGGCACACUAGAGCCAUUUCCUUCGGGGUCACCUGCUCAGGUUCAGCCCAGGACUGACUCAGCAGACAACGAUAUCUGUGUGGCAGACCAAGGGGAAAAAGUGGUGACUUUAGCCUAAUGCUGGGAAAAGAACCUCUUUGCAGGCCGAACAACUUGGAACCAUAAAACCAGAAAGGCAUUGGACAGUUGGAUGAAGGACUUGGUACAGAACAGGUACCUCUUGUUCUUUUGGAACUUCUGUUUUCCAGCACAACUGUUUCUAAUAAGAUCUUCAAUUCUUCAGUUCACAUACCCUGGGGCUUUCAAGAGUUGGUUAAGCGACUGCCUUCGGCUCGGGUCAUGAUCCUGGAGUCCCGGGAUCGAGUCCCGCAUCGGGCUCCCUGCUCGGCGGGGGGUCUGCUUCGUCCUCUGACCCUAUCCCCUCUCAUGUGUUCUCUCUCUCUCAUUCUCUCUCUCUCAAAUAAAUAAAUAAA